UACGAGGGGGCGAGCGUUGUUCGGAAUUAUUGGGCGUAAAGGGUGCGUAGGCGGUUUGGUAAGUCUCGUGUGAAAUCUCCGGGCUCAACUCGGAGCCUGCACGAGAAACUGCCGGGCUUGAGUGUGGGAGAGGUGAGUGGAAUUCCUGGUGUAGCGGUGAAAUGCGUAGAUAUCAGGAGGAACACCUGUGGCGAAAGCGGCUCACUGGACCAUAACUGACGCUGAUGCACGAAAGCUAGGGGAGCAAACAGG
rnacentral:rRNA from 1 species